UGGUCAUUAGAGGAAGUAAAAGUCGUAACAAGGUUCCGUAGGUGAACUGCGGAAGGAUCAUUAUUGAAUAAACUUGCACAGGCUGUUGCUGGCCCUCAAGGGUAUGUGCACGCUUGUCAUCUUUAUCUCUCCAACUGUGCACAUAUUGUAGACCUGGAGUCCCUGUUGAUUCAUUUCGAGUUGGGACUGCUGUGCUUUGUACUUCAGAGUCAGCUUUGCCUUUUUCAUACCCAGGUCUAUGUCAUUUUCACAACCUCUUGAAUGUGUUUAGAAUGUUGAAUCAGGUCUUUUUGUACCUAUAAAGUUAAAUAUACAACUUUCAGCAACGGAUCUCUUGGCUCUCGCAUCGAUGAAGAACGCAGCGAAAUGCGAUAAGUAAUGUGAAUUGCAGAAUUCAGUGAAUCAUCGAAUCUUUGAACGCAUCUUGCGCUCCUUGGUACUCCGAGGAGCAUGCCUGUUUGAGUGUCAUUUAAAUUCUCAACCACAUCAAUUUAUUUGGUGAGGCUUGGAUGUGGGGGUCUUUUUGCGGGCUUCUGUAAAUUUGAAGUCGGCUCCCCUAAAAUGCAUUAGUGGUAUCUGAGCAGAAGAAACUACUACAGGUGUGAUAAUUAUCUACGCCUCAGUAUCCUGCACAAUCAGAUUGUGCUGCUUCUAACGAGUGGAGAUUCCUUUUGGGGGACCACAUUUGUUGAAUUUGACCUCAAAUCAGGUAGGACUACCCGCUGAACUUAAGCAUAUCAAUAAGCGGAGGA
rnacentral:rRNA from 1 species